rnacentral:rRNA from 1 species
CCUUUACUAUAGCUUGACACUGAACAUUGAGCCUUGAUGUGUAGGAUAGGUGGGAGGCUUUGAAGUGUGGACGCCAGUCUGCAUGGAGCCGACCUUGAAAUACCACCCUUUAAUGUUUGAUGUUCUAACGUGGACCCGUGAUCCGGGUUGCGGACAGUGUCUGGUGGGUAGUUUGACUGGGGCGGUCUCCUCCUAAAGAGUAACGGAGGAGCACGAAGGUUGGCUAAUCCUGGUCGGACAUCAGGAGGUUAGUGCAAUGGCAUAAGCCAGCUUGACUGCGAGCGUGACGGCGCGAGCAGGUGCGAAAGCAGGUCAUAGUGAUCCGGUGGUUCUGAAUGGAAGGGCCAUCGCUCAACGGAUAAAAGGUACUCCGGGGAUAACAGGCUGAUACCGCCCAAGAGUUCAUAUCGACGGCGGUGUUUGGCACCUCGAUGUCGGCUCAUCACAUCCUGGGGCUGAAGUAGGUCCCAAGGGUAUGGCUGUUCGCCAUUUAAAGUGGUACGCGAGCUGGGUUUAGAACGUCGUGAGACAGUUCGGUCCCUAUCUGCCGUGGGCGCUGGAGAACUGAGGGGGGCUGCUCCUAGUACGAGAGGACCGGAGUGGACGCAUCACUGGUGUUCGGGUUGUCAUGCCAAUGGCACUGCCCGGUAGCUAAAUGCGGAAGAGAUAAGUGCUGAAAGCAUCUAAGCACGAAACUUGCCCCGAGAUGAGUUCUCCCUGAGACUUAGAGUCUCCUGAAGGAACGUUGAAGACGACGACGUUGAUAGGCCGGGUGUGUAAGCGCAGCGAUGCGUUGAGCUAACCGGUACUAAUGAACC